CUACGGGGUGCUCCAGUGAGGAAUAUUGCACAAUGGGGGGAACCCUGAUGCAGCAACGCCGCGUGGAGGAUGACGCAUUUCGGUGUGUAAACUCCUUUUAUAUGUCAAGAAAAUGACGGUAGCAUAUGAAUAAGCACCGGCUAACUCCGUGCCAGCAGCCGCGGUAAUACGGAGGGUGCAAGCGUUACUCGGAAUCACUGGGCGUAUAGGACGCGUAGGCGGGUUGGAAAGUCAGGUGUGAAAUCCUACAGCUUAACUGUAGAACUGCACUUGAAACUUCUAAUCUAGAGUAUGGGAGGGGGAGAUGGAAUUAGUGGUGUAGGGGUAAGAUCCGUAGAUAUCACUAGGAAUACCUAAAGCGAAGGCGAUCUCCUGGAGCAUUACUGACGCUAAGGCGUGAAAGCGUGGGGAGCAAACAGGAUUAGAUACCCCUGUAGUC
rnacentral:rRNA from 1 species